AUGGUUGUGCCUCAUUAUGCCUACCUCAAGAUGAAGAUGCCACGAACCAAGGGUAUUAUCACGAUCAGUGGAGACUAUGAGAAGUCAGCCGACUCUGCUGCAGCCAGCAGUCGGCUGGCCGAGUCCCUUGUGAUUGCUGCCGAAAAGAAGCUCCUGGACCGGGUGGUGGCCAUGGGCGGCAAGCAGCCGGACAUGUCCCCAGAACCCAAAGAAUCAGAGACUGAGGGCUCCUUCAAGCCACCCAAAGAGACAAAGAAGAUUCCCUUGGACCCUGAGCACCCGGAGAGGUACACUGUCAUAGGUGCCAACCUUGACAGCAAAUAG
rnacentral:rRNA from 1 species